rnacentral:rRNA from 1 species
AUUAUUUUAAGCUAAAUAUUGUUAGUAGAUAAAUAUUAUGAAAUCAUAAGAUUUUGGCGGUAUUUUAAGCUUUUUAGAGGAAUUUGCUCUGUAAUGGAUAAAACGCCCUGAUCUUACUUAAUUUUGUUAAUUCAAUUUGUAUACCACUAUAUUUAAUUAUAUUGAAUGAUAAUAUUUAAUAAUUUUUUUUUUAAAAAUUAUAUUAAGUCAAGGUGCAGUAUAAAAUUAUGAAUGAAGUGAAUUACAAUGAUUAUAAUUGAAAUAUAUAUGAAAAAUUUAAUUUAGGAUUUAAAAGUAAAAUAUUAAUAUAAUGAGUGUUUGAAUAAAGCUCUGGAAUAUGCACA